GAUGAACGCUGGCGGCGUGCCUAAUACAUGCCAGUCGAGCGAACGGACGAGAAGCUUGCUUCUCUGAUGUUAGCGGCGGACGGGUGAGUAACUCGUGGAUAACCUACCUAUAAGACUGGGAUAACUUCGGGAAACCGGAGCUAAUACCGGAUAAUAUUAUGAACCGCAUGGUUCAAAAGUGAAAGACGGUCUUGCUGUCACUUAUAGAUGGAUCCGCGCUGCAUUAGCUAGUUGGUAAGGUAACGGCUUACCAAGGCAACGAUGCAUAGCCGACCUGAGAGGGUGAUCGGCCACACUGGAACUGAGACACGGUCCAGACUCCUACGGGAGGCAGCAGUAGGGAAUCUUCCGCAAUGGGCGAAAGCCUGACGGAGCAACGCCGCGUGAGUGAUGAAGGUCUUCGGAUCGUAAAACUCUGUUAUUAGGGAAGAACAUAUGUGUAAGUAACUGUGCACAUCUUGACGGUACCUAAUCAGAAAGCCACGGCUAACUACGUG
rnacentral:rRNA from 1 species